UACGUAGGGUGCGAGCGUUGUCCGGAAUUAUUGGGCGUAAAGAGCUCGUAGGCGGUUUGUUGCGUCGGCUGUGAAAUCCCGAGGCUCAACCUCGGGUCUGCAGUCGAUACGAGCAAACUAGAGUGUUGCAGGGGAGACUGGAAUUCCUGGUGUAGCGGUGAAAUGCGCAGAUAUCAGGAGGAACACCGGUGGCGAAGGCGGGUCUCUGGGCCGAUACUGACGCUGAGGAGCGAAAGCGUGGGGAGCAAACAGG
rnacentral:rRNA from 1 species